UACGGAGGGUGCAAGCGUUAUCCGGAUUCACUGGGUUUAAAGGGUGCGUAGGCGGGCAGGUAAGUCAGAGGUGAAAUCUCCGAGCUUAACUCGGAAACUGCCUUUGAUACUAUUCUGUCUUGAAUAUGGUGGAGGUAAGCGGAAUAUGUCAUGUAGCGGUGAAAUGCUUAGAGAUGACAUAGAACACCCAUUGCGAAGGCAGCUUACUACGCCUAUAUUGACGCUGAGGCACGAAAGCGUGGGGAUCAAACAGG
rnacentral:rRNA from 1 species